rnacentral:SRP_RNA from 1 species
CCGCGCUAAGCGGGGAGAUAGCGGUGCCCUAUACCUGCAAUCCGCUACAGCAGGGCUGAAUCCCCGUUUUGAGGCUCACCCCUGUGGGGCCGCCGCCAUCGUGGGGCGUCGAUCCCCGGGUCCCGUGCAACUUGCCACUGUGAACCAUGUCAGGGCCGGAAGGCAGCAGCAUUAAGCGGAAGCGCAGGUGUGCCGCGGGCAUGCCCGGGAGUAGCAACCUGAUGGCGAAAACGCCCAUGGGACGUGAAGUCGAGAUUCGGGUGCGCGG